rnacentral:lncRNA from 1 species
GCGGCCGCUCCCCACUCAUCCAUGCUGUGGAGAACAACAGCCUGAACAUGGUGCAACUGCUCCUGCUGGCCUCCAGUCCUCUCCGAGCUCCUCACCCUCGCUGUCUCCCCCGAAGGAUGCUCCAAGCUUCCCCAUGACUCCCCAAAACUACUUCCUUCCUGCAACAUCUGCACCUGCCUUCCUGCCCUUCCCAGGGGUCCUCCGAGGCCCUGGCCGGCCCGUAGCCCCCUCCCCAGCUCCAGGAAGCAGCUGAGACGGAUGGGGGAGCAGACCCGGACUCAUGAGGAAGGGCUUCCCUGCCCUGUGGAGACCACUCUUCUGGAAACUGUGAGGACCUUGUUCUGCUUCCCCCGCCCAGUCUUCGGGACCAGGUUUUGCACCAAGGCACAUGCACAUACUACUGAGCACAGAUACUCCCAGUUGCGCCCAUUGCCCAGGACUCUAAGCCCCAUUUAAUCUCAGGCACGAAGGUUCCCUCUCUGGAAUCCACUAGAUAUUCGAUUCUUUGAGUGGAGGAACCAAAGGACAGCCCCUCCUCUGCCAUCCUCUACCCCGACGGACCCGGAGGAACAGAGGGGAUUGGGAGGACAUUGAUCACGAUGUAAAUUAUUAGGUUU